rnacentral:rRNA from 1 species
CCUACGGGAGGCAGCAGUGGGGAAUCUUGCGCAAUGGGCGAAAGCCUGACGCAGCCAUGCCGCGUGAAUGAUGAAGGUCUUAGGAUUGUAAAAUUCUUUCACCGGGGGACGAUAAUGACGGUACCCCGGAGAAGAAGCCCCCGGCUAACUUCGUGCCAGCAGCCGCGGUAAUACGAAGGGGGCUAGCGUUGCUCGGAAUUACUGGGCGUAAAGGGAGCGUAGGCGGAUAGUUUAGUCAGAGGUGAAAGCCCAGGGCUCAACCUUGGAAUUGCCUUUGAUACUGGCUAUCUUGAGUAUGGGAGAGGUUAGCGGAACUCCGAGUGUAGAGGUGAAAUUCGUAGAUAUUCGGAAGAACACCAGUGGCGAAGGCGGCUAACUGGCCCAUUACUGACGCUGAGGCUCGAAAGCGUGGGGAGCAAACAGGAUUAGAUACCCUGGUAGUCCACGCCGUAAACGAUGAGUGCUAGUUGUCGGUCGAUGCAUGCAUGUCGGUGGUACGCGACGCGUACGACGACUAAGUACACUCCGCCGUCGGGAGGUACGGUCGCGAGAGUAAACUACGAAGAAGUAGACGCGNGAGACGUGCCGACGACGACGACGAGGGAGGUAGG